UGAGGAAUUUUACGCAAUGGGGGGAACCCUGACGCAGCAAUGCCGCGUGGGUGAUGAAGGCCUUCGGGUCGUAAAGCCCUGUCAGGCGGGAAGAACGUCCCUUCGGGGAUUGACGGUACCGCCAGAGGAAGCACCGGCUAACUCCGUGCCAGCAGCCGCGGUAAUACGGAGGGUGAAAGAGUUAUUCGGAAUUACUGGGCGUAAAGGGCGUGCAGGCGGGAGAGCAAGUCUGAUGUGAAAGCCCGGGGCUUAACCCCGGAAGGGCAUUGGAAACUGCUUUUCUUGAGUUCUGGAGAGGAAGGGAGAAUUCCCGGUGUAGAGGUGAAAUUCGUAGAGAUCGGGAGGAACAUCAGUGGCGAAGGCGCCCUUCUGGACAGCAACUGACGCUGAGACGCGAAAGCGUGGGGAGCAAACA
rnacentral:rRNA from 1 species